GCCAGAGUGGUGUAGUGGUUUGAACGUAGAACUAGGAUUCUGGUGAUCGGAGUUCGAUUCCCUGCUCAGAUA